rnacentral:rRNA from 1 species
CGGCGGACGGGUGAGUAACACGUGGGUAACCUACCUAUAAGACUGGGAUAACUUCGGGAAACCGGAGCUAAUACCGGAUAACAUUUGGAACCGCAUGGUUCUAAAGUGAAAGAUGGUUUUGCUAUCACUUAUAGAUGGACCCGCGCCGUAUUAGCUAGUUGGUAAGGUAACGGCUUACCAAGGCGACGAUACGUAGCCGACCUGAGAGGGUGAUCGGCCACACUGGAACUGAGACACGGUCCAGACUCCUACGGGAGGCAGCAGUAGGGAAUCUUCCGCAAUGGGCGAAAGCCUGACGGAGCAACGCCGCGUGAGUGAUGAAGGGUUUCGGCUCGUAAAACUCUGUUAUUAGGGAAGAACAAACGUGUAAGUAACUGUGCACGUCUUGACGGUACCUAAUCAGAAAGCCACGGCUAACUACGUGCCAGCAGCCGCGGUAAUACGUAGGUGGCAAGCGUUAUCCGGAAUUAUUGGGCGUAAAGCGCGCGUAGGCGGUUUCUUAAGUCUGAUGUGAAAGCCCACGGCUCAACCGUGGAGGGUCAUUGGAAACUGGGAAACUUGAGUGCAGAAGAGGAAAGUGGAAUUCCAUGUGUAGCGGUGAAAUGCGCAGAGAUAUGGAGGAACACCAGUGGCGAAGGCGACUUUCUGGUCUGUAACUGACGCUGAUGUGCGAAAGCGUGGGGAUCAAACAGGAUUAGAUACCCUGGUAGUCCACGCCGUAAACGAUGAGUGCUAAGUGUUAGGGGGUUUCCGCCCCUUAGUGCUGCAGCUAACGCAUUAAGCACUCCGCCUGGGGAGUACGACCGCAAGGUUGAAACUCAAAGGAAUUGACGGGGACCCGCACAAGCGGUGGAGCAUGUGGUUUAAUUCGAAGCAACGCGAAGAACCUUACCAAAUCUUGACAUCCUUUGAAAACUCUAGAGAUAGAGCCUUCCCCUUCGGGGGACAAAGUGACAGGUGGUGCAUGGUUGUCGUCAGCUCGUGUCGUGAGAUGUUGGGUUAAGUCCCGCAACGAGCGCAACCCUUAAGCUUAGUUGCCAUCAUUAAGUUGGGCACUCUAGGUUGACUGCCGGUGACAAACCGGAGGAAGGUGGGGAUGACGUCAAAUCAUCAUGCCCCUUAUGAUUUGGGCUACACACGUGCUACAAUGGACAAUACAAAGGGCAGCUAAACCGCGAGGUCAUGCAAAUCCCAUAAAGUUGUUCUCAGUUCGGAUUGUAGUCUGCAACUCGACUACAUGAAGCUGGAAUCGCUAG